rnacentral:rRNA from 1 species
UACAGAGGUGGCAAGCGUUGUUCGGAUUUACUGGGCGUAAAGCGUGCGUAGGCGGUCGCGUGUGUUGGAUGUGAAAUCCCGGGGCUCACCCCCGGACUGGCAUCCAAAACUGCGUGGCUAGAGGCCGGGAGAGGAGUCUGGAACACAUGGUGUAGCGGUGAAAUGCGUUGAUAUCAUGUGGAACACCGGAUGCGAAGGCGAGACUCUGGAACGGAUCUGACGCUGAGGUACGAAAGCGUGGGGAGCAAACAGG